AUACCCUGCGGAAUGCUCAGGUCCGCCGCAUCUCCUGGGUCCGUAGGGUCGGCCGGCGCGCAAUUGGUCCUGGAGUGGCCUCCUCGAAACGCCAAUAGCCGCCGGCCGCCUU
rnacentral:sRNA from 12 species